rnacentral:tRNA from 1 species
GGAAGUGGAUAGUGCACUGGUGGCGCUCCCGGACUUCAAAUCCGGUGUAUCGGGUUAAUAGCUCGAUAGGUGGGUUCGAUUCCCAUGCACUUCCGCCA